CUCAAGUAUCUGGUCCUUCCAGAGCAUAUUUGAUUUUAAUUUUGUUUUCAUCUUUCAGGGGAAAGGUCAUGUACUGAACAACUGUAUGUAAAGAGAUAUUCCGUCUAUAAUGUGUCAGCAGGGAGUUCAUUUAAAUUGGAGUGCCCUGUGAAAUACUGUACUAAGGAACCUUUUGUGACCUGGUGCAAGCUCGAAGGAAAAAACUGUUUACCUCUUGAAUAUAAACUUCCGGGAUACACAAGUUGGAAAGACCGGGAGAAUAGUUCAGUUUUUAUUCUUCAUUUUACCCACAUGCUGGCUAUGACACCGGUCCCUACCGCUGUUCUGCAAAUUUUACAUUUGGAGUUGUUGAAAGCCAUUCAGUAACCACUUAUGUGACAGGUUGAUAUUCCCCAGCCCUUUCGGAGUGAGGAAACUGACGGGGAAUCAGGCAAAAUCCCGAAACACUGUUAUCAGAAGCUGGUCCUUAUGAUACUGACCGCUGGCUCAGGGUCCCGGAAGAGUCUGAAGCUUAUUCUAACCCAUGCCUGGAGGAAAACAGACAGGGCAUUGUUUAUGCUUCCUUGAACCCUUCUGUCAUUGGAAUAAACCCAAGACAAGCAAGGAAUGUGAAUGAAGCACCUACAGAAUACGCAGCCAUAUGUGUGAGGAGUUAAAUUCGAUCUUGAUCUCCAAGCAGUGAUCACUGAAUGAUCUGCAUGUCCACACCAUUACUGAACCCAACAAAAGGUCAAAUAAUACUCCUUGACCUGUGAAGCUUCGCUUUAAGGAGGUUCAUAUUGGUGCUUGGGUCUUAAGGGUCUAUAGGACAAAUGACUAAAAUUUCUCCCCCCAAAUUCUGAGGGAACUUUUUAUAUGAUCCCCUUGAACAACAACACAAAAACCCUUCCCUCCAAAACUAAGUGAUAUUGAGUAGCAGACUGGUAGGACACUUCAACUUAGCUACAUUUUACCCAGUGUAUAAAGUUAAUAUAUUUUUUGGAGGAUAAAAGACACAUGUAAGUAAGAGAGAUUUGCAUAAUCUGGAUCAGUUCACUACACUCUCUUGACAAUGAAAGGGUGUCCCAAUUUGACUAACUGACCAUCAACCCAGUAGGAUGUUUAUUUCUGGUCAUUCUUCUGUGAUGAGAAAUAUUCCUCUGUCCAUCCAACACUGGGGUUUGUUUUUUUUUAAUGUAAAGUAGAAGUAAUUUUAGACUUGAUAUGACAUGCAAAUGGUUUUAGCUACCCUGUCACAUUGUUGAGCAAAUAUAGGUAAUAAUGGAGCAAUUAAUGUGCGGUGCAUUUAUAAACAAAGCUGUGACUCAGUGCCUGGGUCACAUGGACUAGUGUAUAUGAAUGUGAUAUAAUGCUGCUGAAUUCAUAUACUCGUGGGUGUUUAAUAAACAUAAAAAUAAUUAUCAUCGA